rnacentral:rRNA from 1 species
UACAGGGGGGGCAAGCGUUGUUCGGAAUUACUGGGCGUAAAGGGCUCGUAGGCGGCCAACUAAGUCCGACGUGAAAUCCCCAGGCUUAACCUGGGAACUGCGUCGGAUACUGGAUGGCUUGAAUUCGGGAGAGGGAUGCAGAAUUCCAGGUGUAGCGGUGAAAUGCGUAGAUAUCUGGAGGAAUACCGGUGGCGAAGGCGGCAUCCUGGACCGACAUUGACGCUGAUGAGCGAAAAGCUAGGGGGAGCAAACGGG